rnacentral:rRNA from 1 species
UACGAGAGGCCCAAACGUUAUUCGGAUUUACUGGGCUUAAAGAGUUCGUAGGCGGCGCAGCAAGUAGGGUGUGAAAUCCCAUGGCUCAACCAUGGAACUGCUUGGUAUACUGGUUGUCUUGAGCCACUUAGGGGCAGUCGGAACAGAUGGUGGAGCGGUGAAAUGCGUAGAUAUCAUCUGGAACGCCAAAGGUGAAAACAGACUGCUGGGAGUGUGCUGACGCUGAGACACGAAAGCUAGGGGAGCGAACGGG